rnacentral:ncRNA from 1 species
UAUCCUGUGCGGGCGGAGGAAACUUGAGGGGUGUCGCUCCUAGUACGAGAGGACCAGAGUGAACGGACCUAUCCUGUGCGGGCGGAGGAAACUUGAGGGGUGUCGCUCCUAGUACGAGAGGACCAGAGUGAACGGACCGACGGUGUACGAGUUGUCAUGCCAAUGGCAUUGCUCGGUAGCCAUGUCCGGAUGGGAUAAGCACUGAAAGCAUCUAAGUGCGAAACCCGCCCCAAGAUGAGGUUUCCCGGGAUUUAUAUCCCCUAAAGACCCCAAGGAGAUGACUUGGUUGAUAGGCCACAGAUGUAAGAGCAGUAAUGUUCGAGUCGAGUGGUACUAAUAGGUCGUGCGGCUUAACCAU